UAUUCUUUUAUUUAUUUGUCGAUAAUUUCGUAAUGUUUUGGUUUAUAUUCCUUUUUUACUUUAUGUUUUUCUUAGAUUAAGUUUCGAUAAGAAAUAAAACUCCAUUGUAACACAUUUGAAAAUAUUAUAUAGCUAAUCUAAUUGAAGUUCAGUGGACAAGCCAAAUACAAUUUUUUUCCCUUAGCCAUUAAUUGUUAGCUAUUUUUCUGCUAUUCUUUUUCGCAUACAUGAAUUUGUUGUGUUUUUUAUGCUAACCUUUUCUUUUUUGAGUCAAUAUAAAGGAUAGGAGAAUUUGGUUAAGUGUUUUACUUUGGUGAAACGUCCGAAAACUACUGUUGUCCGCCCAUGUAGUAGCGGGAGUGCUUCUGAGGAGGACCCUGCAGCGCCUCCGGGUUAUUAUGGUGGUGGGAAUUGACAGAAUGGCGGGCUUUUCUUUUUGGGUUUUUUGCUAGGGGCCCUGUUGUAUAGCUGGUAGCUCUACUACACACUAAAUAAUUUUCUGCUCGCUGUGAAAGUCUUACUUAUAGUUCACACUGUGUUGCCAAAUCAUAUGAUAGAAACUUUCCUGUUUUGCUUCGUUUAAAUUAUUCGACAGGUUUGCUGUUUUGCUUGGUCAUGCUUUCCAUACGCAUCGAUUUGCUUCGUGUUGGCGAGUUUUGGAUAUUGUCUUGCAUCGACAACAUUUUAGAAUUCAGGAUUCAAAGGUUAAAAGGGUUUGAGUCUGCCUGCAACUGCUCAUUUGAGUCUUGGUAUUUAUCACAAUUCCUGAUUAUUAGUGGCUCCAAAAGGUGUAGAUUUUAAUUCCACGUUUUAUUUCUUGCGCACUUUAUGUUCCACACU